UACGAAGGGGGCUAGCGUUGCUCGGAAUUACUGGGCGUAAAGCGCACGUAGGCGGCUUUCUAAGUCGGGGGUGAAAUCCUGGAGCUCAACUCCAGAACUGCCUUCGAUACUGGAGAGCUCGAGUCCGGGAGAGGUGAGUGGAACUCCGAGUGUAGAGGUGAAAUUCGUAGAUAUUCGGAAGAACACCAGUGGCGAAGGCGGCUCUCUGGGACGGUACUGACGCUGAGACGCGAAGCGUGGG
rnacentral:rRNA from 1 species